CCUGUGUUGCCUUCUUUUUUUUUGUUCGUGGGGUGUCGUUGCUUUUUUUUUUUUGGGGAUGAACAUGUUGACUUGGUGCUGUGCCUGCCAUUGUGUUGAUCUUUGAAAGGAUAUUAUGAUAUGUUUUUAACAGAAACUUGGUAAUGUUUUUGGUGAGGUCAACACAAUCACGCUCAUAUUAUUUCUACUUAUCCUUUCUAUGAUUUGCCAUACAAAAAUGGAAUUUGAGCAAACCAAGCUUCUUUACUCAUAUGCAUGCAUAAUAGGGCGAUUUUCAUGAUUCAAGUCUUAUUGUGGGAAACAAAGCAGAGAUUAAUGCGGAGAAGGAUGGAGGGGCUUGUGGUAAUGGUGAGGGUGAGGGUGGAGAAGGGGAUGGAAGCCCUUCUGCAUACUUAAACCUCAAUGGCAAUGAUGAGGUGGCAGCUCAGAAUGAGGAAGAGACCAAGGUGUUAGUUGCCUGUAGGCCCAAACAAGGUCGGAACAAGAUGCCCAAGGGUCGAUCUCUUAUUACCAAGCUCGAUGAAUUAGGUUGCUCCUGUCAAGGUGAUGGAGCUAAGUACACAUAAUCUAGGUGUAAUGCAUAGACCGUAUCGUUCUCAUCAAAGAUUACAAUAUAUUUGGUGUAUGGACUUCGUUCUUAUCAAACAUUACAAUAUAUUUGAUGUGUGGACUCUUGGUUUUAAUCUCGAUGUAUUGACUCUUCGUUUUAAUUUUGAUGUAUGGACUCUUUUGUUUAAUCAUGAUGUAUGGACUUCGUUUAAUCUUGAUGUACAAGCUGUUUAGUUGAAUUCUACUGCUUUAA